UCGAAAUAACGUUUCUAUACGUUUCUAUAGUAGUAUAUAUUCUUCAGUAUUUAAAUAAAAUAUCGGCGGCUCCCGCAAUUUUUAAUUCUGUGCAUUCCGGAAACAGCCCCUCAUGUCAUGAUACAAAUAAAAAAUUUCAAAAAUAUCUUCUUUAGUUUCUGCUCUUUGUAGGUAAAAAUCUAGAUCUGCGGCCGAAGAACGUUAAUUAAAAUGGCGGAAACAAAAGGCACAUCCUUUCGUCAACUGCUGCUGGAUUUUAUGAGUUCCACCACAAGCCAUGGUCUCGGCAGAUUGGUAGCAUCGACGACUGCUAUGUGGAAAUUAUUCUGGACUAUUUCAUGUCUCGGUGCUUUUGCAAUGUUUGUAUAUCAAGUUCAUGUGCUAUUCCAAAUAUAUCUGACCCGACCAGUGCAAACGUUUGUCACUAUGGAGUUCGAGAAG
rnacentral:lncRNA from 1 species